UAUGCCUAUACAAAAGAAAAAUUCGGAGUAGGUAUUAAAAUCCAUGGAGAAGAAAUAAAAACUUUGAGGUUCGCCGAUGACAUUGUAAUUCUGUAAGAGACAGCAAAGGACUUGGAAGAGCAGUUGAACGGAAUGGAUGGUGUCUUGAAGGGAGGAUAUAAGAUGAACAUCAACAAAAGCAAAACGAGGAUAAUGGAAUGUAGUCGAAUUAAGUCGGGUGAUGUUGAGGGUAUUAGAUUAGGAAAUGAGACACUUAAAGUAGUAAAGGAGUUUUGCUAUUUGGGGAGCAAAAUAAUUGAUGAUUGUCGAAGUAGAGAGGAUAUAAAAUGUAGACUGGCAAUGACAAGGAAAGCGUUUCUGAAGAAGAGAAAUUUGUUAACAUCGAGUAUAGAUUUAAGUGUCAGGAAGUCAUUUCUGAAAGUAUUUGUAUGGAGUGUAGCCAUGUAUGGAAGUGAAACAUGGACGGUAAAUAGUUUGGACAAGAAGAGAAUAGAAGCUUUCGAAAUGUGGUGCUACAGAAGAAUGCUGAAGUUUAGAUGGGUAGAUCACAUAACUAAUGAGGAGGUACUGAAUAGGAUUGGGGAGAAGAGGAGUUUGUGGCACAACUUGACCAGAAGAAGGGAUCGGUUGGUAGGACAUGUUCUGAGGCAUCAAGGGAUCACCAAUUUAGUAUUGGAGGGCAGCGUGGAGGGUAAAAAUCGUAGGGGGAGACCAAGAGAUGAAUACACUAAGCAGAUUCAGAAGGAUGUAGGUUGUAGUAGGUACUGGGAAAAGAAGAAGCUUGCACAGGAUAGAGUAGCAUGGAGAGCUGCAUCAAACCAGUCUCAGGACUGAAGACCACAACAACAACAACAACAUGCCUCUGUACGAGCCCUAAUCUCUCUUAUCUUAUCUUUGUAAUCUUUCCGCGAAAUAUAAGUUUGCGGCAGUAAAACUGUACCUCAGUCAGCCUCAAAUGCUGAUUCUCUAAAUUUUCUUAGUAGCGAUUCACAAAAGAACGUCUCCUUUCCUCCAGAGACUCCCACCCGAGUUCCUGAAGCAUUUCCGUAACACUCGCGUGAUGAUCAAACCUACCAGUAACAAAUCUAGCAGCCCGCCUCUGAAUUGCUUCUAUGUCCUCCCUCAAUCCUACCUGAUAAGGAUCCCAAACGCUCGAGCAGUACUCAAGAAUAGGUCAUAUUAGUGUUUUGUGAGCCGUCUCCUUUACAGAUGAACCACAUCUUCCCAAAAUUCUACCAAUGAACCGAAGCCGACUAUCCGCCUUCCACACAACUGCCAUUACAUGCUUGUCCCACUUCAUAUCGCUCUGAAAUGUUACGCCCAAAUAUUUAAUCGAUUUACUGUGUCAAGCGCUACACUACUAAUGGAGUAUUCUAACAUUCUUUUUCCUGUUCAUCUGCAUUAAUUUACAUUUAUCUAUAUUUAGAGUUACCUGCCAUUCUUUACCUUCCUCAGUCCGUGGGUCCACAUGCGUGGACUUCGCGGUUUUAUUUCGUAAAGCUUAUGAACAGUUUCUGUCGACUAAAUACCUCUAGUACACGUUUGUGGAAGCUUCGUGGUUUCAGUCUAUGCCACCAGAUCGCACCACAAUCUGCUUGCAGUGCCGUCUGUGAUGUUUUGAAGAUACGGGUCGGCGAAGUGGCUACACACGGCACACGCUCUGAAGUAAUCAACAAUGAAUACGUACUUCGGAUGCUGGAGGAGAGUGACUUCAGUUCACUUUAAGAUGAUGAGAGUCAACAGUUGUCAGAUGAGGAGGCUGUCCCUGAAUCUACAGUCACUACUGAACAAUCAGACAUCGAAGUAGAAGACCCCACGCCUGGUUCGUCGCAGGACAGUGGACCUAAAUGUAAGUUAAAAUGGAAGUGCUCAAAAAUUGAAAACAAGGAACCAGGUGAAGAUACGAGUAAUUUCGCAGAUAUGACGGAUGGUGUGUUAAGGGAUCCUGCUGAAUACUUUUUCAAAUAUUAUGAUAAGAAUUUUUGGAAUGUUGUUGCAGAACAGACAAAUCUAUAUCAUGUGCAAAGGAAUAGUAAGAAUUUGAACACAAAUAUGAACGAAAUUCUUUCCUUUGUUGGGAUUGAAAUUCUAAUGGGUACGCUCAAGCUACCACAAGCCAAGAUGUACUGGAGUAGGCUACUUGUUUUGCCUCUCAUCAGUGAUACUCUGACUCGGGGCAGAUACUUCAAGUUAUGGAAUCAUUUACAUUUUGUAAAUAAUUUACGUGACCAAGAUAGGAGUGACAAACUUUGGAAAGUGAGGCCGGUGAUUAAUGUUUUCAGGAAUAAGUGUCUCGCUUUGCCACGAUCUAAGUACCUAUUAAUUGACGAGCAGAUGAUUCCAUUCUCUGGCAGAUGUGCAAUGAGAAUUUAUGUGCCAUCGAAACCCAAUCCUCUUGGGUUGAAAAACUUUAUUUUGGCAUCUUCAGAUGGUUUAGUUCUUGACUUCAUAAUAUAUACUGGCAAAGGAACAGUGUCUGACACUGAAUUAUUAGAAAUAGGUUUAGGUGCAAGUGUAAUUAAGCUGUUGACUGUGACAGUUCCAAACAAUGGACAGCAUGUGAUAUAUAGUGACAGAUUUUUGCAGGCAUUAAGUCAGUUGAGCUUCUCUUAAGCAGCAACAUAUAUCGAACAGGUACUGUAAUGAAAUACAGAAUUUCUGAUGUGGCUUCAAAAUUCAAAACUGAUUGUGAUCUAAACAGAGGUGAAUGGGAUGAAUAUGUGAGGGAAGACAAAAAGGUGUGUGCACUUAAAUGGAAAGAUAACACGGCUGUCAUUUUGAUAUCAUCUUGUGUUGUGAGUGAGCCGCAAGUUACUUGUAAGCGAUGGUCAAAGGCGUAGAACAGAAGUAUUCAGGUACCACAACCAGCUAUUGUGAAGAGUUACAAUUGUAACAUGGGUGGUAUCGACCUAUGUGACAGAUUCAUGGCUACUACAGGUCAAAUACCAGAACAAGAAAAUGGACAAUCAGACUGUUUAACCAUUUUAUUGAUUUAGCUAUUAUUAAUUGCUGGAUUAUGUACAAAAGAACCUGUGCAAAAGAAGAAGUACUAAAGUGUAACAGACUGUCCCUAAUAAACUUCAGGCUGAAUGUGGCCAAUGUACUGAUAAAGGGUUCUCAUGUCAGAGGGGCCUCACAACUCUCCAAAGAAAGAACCUUCGAUGAACAGGAGAUCACUGACAGCUCAGGAGAAGAUGAAGAUAAUAAACCCAAAAGAAGAAAGGUUGUUUCCAUGCCAAGGAAGCCAACUCGAUAUGACCAAAUUGAUCAUCUUCCCCAAUAUGUAGAGGCAAAGAAUGCUUCUAAAUGUCGUUUUGAAGAUUGCAAAUCCCGCACAAGAACCUUGUGAAAGAAGUGCAAUGUUUAUUUAUGUGUGACUAAAAACAAUUGUUUUGUAAAACUCCGUCAACAAAAACUUUAAUCUGUU